rnacentral:rRNA from 1 species
GAUGAACGCUGGCGGCGUGCUUAACACAUGCAAGUCGAACGAGAAGUGCAUACUGGCACCUUCGUGCGGAAGGCUUUAUUUCGAUUGGCCGACGGUUGAGUAACGCGUGGUUAACCUUCCUCAUACAGGGGUAUAACAGUUGGAAACGACUGUUCAUACCUCAUAAGACCACAGCACCGCAUUGUGCGUGGGUAAUAACUCCGCUGGUAUGAGAUGUACCCGCGUUCGAUUAGCCAGGGGGAGGGGUAACGGCCCACCAACGCGACGAGCGAUAGCCGAACGGAGAAGAGGAACGGCGAGAUUGGGACAGAGACAAGACCCAAACGCGAAGGGGAGGCAGCAGAGGGGAAUAAUGCAGAAUGGGGGAAACGCUGAGGCAGCGAGGGGGGGUGAGUGAAGAAGUAGUUCGGUACGUAAAGCGCUAUCAGCAGGGAAGAAAAUGACGGUACCUGAGUAAGAAGCCCCGGCUAACUACGUG